AUAUAUCUCCAAAACUAAAACGAGUAGAAGACGAAGGUGGAGAAGGAAGUGGAAAUGAAAUGAAACCAUAUAAAAUUAUAAACCAUGAUGAAGCAGCAGCCACAGCAAGUAUUUUGGCGAGAGCAGAGCGAAAAGACGAAAACAAGUAUAACGGAGAGGAAAGUAACGUGGACCUUGAACGACCAAAAUCUUUUGCUCCGACUGCAUACGACAAGAGGGGAAAUGUAAUGUUUGGAGGCCUUGACAUAGCUGACAUCGUUCCGACAUACGACUAAAUAGGUGUAGUGUCUCCACCGCACGUGGCACGAAAGCGAACUAUAUGAAAUCAACUAGCAUUGCUUACGUCUUACGUGAACAACACGCUGACCUAUGCCACGUGAUUCGACUCAAUUUGACGAGACGACGAGACACGUAACUUACGCACUCGUGCAAAGGAUUGAUGUCAGAGUCCGAUGAAGAUAACGAUUGCAAAAUCUAAUUAAACAAUUAUAUAUAAUUCUAUCGCGUAACCGAAAUUGAUUAUUAAACGAUAAUUGAUUUGAAUUUCUUGUUGUUCUUGUUGUCAGAAAAAAAAGUAGAUCCGUUGUAAGAACUACAUUGCGAAGAGCCAAUGGUAAAUAUUGAAUAUAAAUUUUCAUAUGAUUAAUAAAAUAUAAAAUAAAAUGGAUCUUAUUCGUGGA